rnacentral:rRNA from 1 species
CCCUACGGGGCGCACCAGGCAGCCGAUUCGACCUCAAUGCUCCUUGUUGAAUCUGCACAGAGCAUGGCCAAUCGAAUGGAAGCAUUUUGUUGGGAUGAAGGCAAUGACGAUUGGAGCCAAGCUUUGAAGGGAUUACCAUAUAUUCGAGUGAUUGAUAAAAGCGGCAAGCCUUUGACCAAUUCGAUCCUUGAAUCUCAUCGCAUAAAUAGUCCGUAUAUCUUAGAGUCAAAAGAUAAGACGUUCUUUGAACAGAUUAAAGGCGAUCUGGGUAUCAUGGAGACUGGCAGAGUGGACCUUCAACUUCUUGCCAGGACGCUUCUGAAAUAUGAUAUCAACUCACUUUUGCAUGGAGUGUUUCUUGCAAAGAAGGAAUUGGCGGGGGGGC